UACGAAGGGGGCUAGCGUUGCUCGGAAUUACUGGGCGUAAAGAGCUCGUAGGUGGUUUGUCGCGUUGUUCGUGAAAACCUGAGGCUUAACCUUGGGCGUGCGGGCGAUACGGGCAGACUGGAGUACUGCAGGGGAGACUGGAAUUCCUGGUGUAGCGGUGGAAUGCGCAGAUAUCAGGAGGAACACCGGUGGCGAAGGCGGGUCUCUGGGCAGUAACUGACGCUGAGGAGCGAAAGCGUGGGGAGCGAACAGG
rnacentral:rRNA from 1 species